rnacentral:pre_miRNA from 1 species
UCUUUAUGGAUGAACAAAGAAAGUGAUUUCUUGAGAUGGAGUCUACUCCUGGUGAAGAUGCUGUGAA